rnacentral:ncRNA from 1 species
GUCGUGGGACGACCCAUGCUCACUGCUGAUGACUGGGGACGGCCCCC